AGAGUUUGAUCAUGGCUCAGAUUGAACGCUGGCGGCAGGCCUAACACAUGCAAGUCGAGCGGCAGCGGGAAAGUAGCUUGCUCCUGGGCGACGAGCGGCGGACGGGUGAGUAACGUCUGGGAAACUGCCCGAUGGAGGGGGAUAACUACUGGAAACGGUAGCUAAUACCGCAUAACGUCGCAAGACCAAAGAGGGGGACCUUCGGGCCUCUUGCCAUCGGAUGUGCCCAGAUGGGAUUAGCUAGUUGGUGAGGUAAUGGCUCACCAAGGCGACGAUCCCUAGCUGGUCUGAGAGGAUGAUCAGCCACACUGGAACUGAGACACGGUCCAGACUCCUACGGGAGGCAGCAGUGGGGAAUAUUGCACAAUGGGGGAAACCCUGAUGCAGCCAUGCCGCGUGUGUGAAGAAGGCCUUCGGGUUGUAAAGCACUUUCAGCGAGGAGGAAAGUGUUGAGGUUAAUAACCUCAGCAAUUGACGUUACCCGCAGAAGAAGCACCGGCUAACUCCGUGCCAGCCGCCGCGGUAAUAC
rnacentral:rRNA from 1 species